rnacentral:lncRNA from 1 species
AUGCAGACCAGAGGUAGGAUCAGAUGAAUUAGGAUCAGAAGGGGUGGUAGGAGCUAGGAUGCAUGCCAUUUAAAGUUUGUAUUGGUGUGCGUGCAUGCAUAUGUGUUUUCCCCUGUUUGUGUGGGUGCGAAUGUGUGCAUGUGUUUUCCCACGUGUAGUCAAGUGGCCUUUUGGUCUUCAAAGACCUAGGUCUUAACCUCAGCUUGAUUUCUAGGUGAGUGUUCAUUGGCAAAUUAUUUAAAUGUUUUCAUAUCCAUUUUCUUUUUGCUUCUUCCUUUGCAAUUUUUUUUUUUUUUUGUAAAGCACGGGCCGCAGAUGUUUAUUAGAAUAUAAUUAAACAUGUGGCAGCCUCUCCCCUUCCCCUGCAUUUCUUUCCUUUUCUUUCUUAAAUCUCAACAAUGUGAUUACUUUCCUGCCUUUUGGUCAGAAAGCUCAGCGUUGCUGAAGACUGUUUACACGGCUUCGUAAUCUGGAGAUGAAAAUUUAUAUCCCAUAAUCCAGCCUUCAGCUUAAUUUCAUCUGGCCCACAGAGGUAAUGAAUAAAUAACAGAGUUUAUACUUCUCUUUCAACAUUUUAAAGAUGUAAACUCUUCUAAAUUGUUUCUUUAUAAGUGAUUUUUAAAAUUAUGGUAAAAUAUGCAUAACAGACUUUUUUAUUUUAACUAUUUAAAGUGUGCAGUUCAGCAUCAAGUACUUUCCAGAUGUAUAGCCACUACCACUACCUAUUUCCAGAAUUUUUUCAUUGUCUCAAAUACAUGCUCUGUCCCUAUUAAGCAAAACACACUUUUCCCUCCCCCCAGCCCCUGGCACCCACUAUUCUAUAUAAGUGGAAUCAUAUGACAUUUGUUCUUUUGUGUCUGGCUUAUUUCAUUUAGCAUGCGUUCAGAGUUCAUCCUUCUCACAGCAUGUAUCAAACUUUCAUUUCUUCUUAAGCCUGAGUAAGAUUUCUCUGCAAGUAGGUACCACAUUUUGUUUAUCCAUUCAUCUGUUAAUGGUCACUUGGGUCAUUUCCACCUUUUGACUCUUUUGAAUAAGGGUACUAUGACCCCAGGCAUAUGGGUUUCUGUUUGAAUCCCUGCUUUCAGUUCUUUUGGGUAUGUGUGCAAAAGUGGAAUUGAUGGGUCAUGUGGUGAUGGCUCAUUGUGGGUUUGAUUUGCGUUUCCUUAGUGACUAGUGGAGCAUCUUUUCAUGUGCUUAUUGGCUCUUCAUAUAUCUUCUUUGGAGAAGGUCUAUUCAAGUCCUUUGCCCAGUUUUGACUUGGGUUGUGUUUUGUUGUUGAGUUGUAGGAAUUUUCCUUUACAUUUUAGAUAUUGGUCCCUCACUGGAUAGGUGCUUUGCAAAUAUUUCCUCCCGUUCUGUGGGUUGUGUUUCCCUCUCUUGAUAGUGUCCUUUAAUGCAUAAAGGCUUUAAAACUGGUGAUGUCCAUUUUAUCCAUUUUUUCUUUUGUUGACUGUGCUGUUAAAAUAAUUUUUUAAACAAAUGUUUAAUAAGGGCUUCUGAUAUACCUUUGAAAAAGCAAACCUCCUUAUUCUCAACGUGGUUGGUCAGAGAGCCUUAACUGCAGAGUGGUUUUGCUGAACUUGCUGCUCUUGGAAUUUACUUUUGCGCAUCUCAGCUAACAUACAUACUACUGUGGUUUCUUCAUUUGAUACCAGUAGUCAGGUGGAGAGUUUAGCUGAAUAGCAAAGUCCACUAUUACCAUGCUAGCAUUGUGUUUUGUUUUUUUCUUUUUGGCCACACUCUUGGCAUGUGAAAGUUCUGGGGACAGGGAUUGAACCCCAGCCACAGAAGUGAAAAUGCCAAAUCCUUAACCCUCUGAGUCACCAAGGAACUCCAGGUAUUUGCGUUUUAAGCAAACAAAAUAGGGAAAAUUCUCCCAAUGACUCAGUAAUUUGACUUGAUACUUUGUUUUAUUUCAUUGAAACAAAGUACAAUAACUGCAAAAGAUUAGCAUUUAAAAAUGCACAGGGAUGUAUGUAUUGAUCACUAUAAAAUUGUUUUUCACUCAGUCUUUUUUUUUUUUUUUUGUCUUUUUAGAGCCACACCCGUGACCUAUGGAUGUUACCAGGCCAGGGGUUGAAUCUACACCACAGCCAUAGCAAUGGUAUCCAAGCUGUGUCUGCGACCCACAACACAGCUCAUGGCAUCGCCAGAUCCUUAACCCACCAAGCGAGGCCAGGUAUCAAACCUGUGUCCUCCUGGAUACUGGUCUGGUUCAUUACCACUGUGCAACAAUGGGAACUCCUCAUUUAGUCAUUUUUAAAAAUCCCAUACAGGUCUUUUUAAAAAAAUGGUGUAUAAUUGACUUACAACAUUCUAUUAGGUUCAAGUGUAUACAUAAUGAUUAGAUAUUUAUAUAUAUUAUGAAUUGAUCACCACCACAAGUCUAAGUUACCACAUGUAGUUACAAGUAUUUUUUCUUGUGAUGAGAGCUUCUGAGGUCUACUUAGCGACUUUCAAACAUGCAAUACAAUAUUAUUAACUAGAUAGAGUCACUGCGACGUCCCUUGACUUAUUUAUUUUAUAACAGGAAAUAUAAAUUAUUUCUCUCACUUGUUAUCCCCUGUCCCUGGCAACAUAAAUCUGUGCUCUGUAUCUAUGAGCUCAUUUAAAAUCUUUGUUUUCAGAUUUUACAGGCAAGUGUAGUCAUAGGCUAUUUGUCUUUCUCUGUCUGACUUAUUUUACUGAGUCUAAUGCCCCUAAAGUCUAUCCACAUUGUCACAAAUGGCAAGAUUUCAUUCUUUUUUGUGGCUGAGUAAUGUUCCAUUUUUUAUAUACAUACACCACAUCUCUAGCCAUCAUCUGUCAGUGGACACUGAGGUUGCUUCCAUGUCUUGGCUGUAGUAAAUAUUGCUGCUCUCUGAAUGUGGGAAUGUAAGGGUGCAUGUGUCUUUUCAAAUUAAUGUUUUCUUUUUCUUUUUUUUUUUUUUUUUGGAUCUAUAUCCAGGAGUGGAAUUGCAGCCUCAUAUGGUAGUUUUUAGUUUUUUGAGAAAUCUCUAUACUGUUUCCACAGAGGCUGCACCAACUUAUAUUCCCAUCAAUAGUGCACAAGAUUUCCCUUCUCUCUGCAUUCUCACCAACACUUAUUAUUUGUAUUCUUUUUGAGGACAGCCAUUCUGAUAGGUAUGAGGUAAUACCUCACUGUGUUUUUUUUGUUUGGUUGGUUGGUUGUUAGUUUUGGUUUUUAGGGCUUCACCCACAGCAUAUGGAUGUUCCCAGGCUAGGGGUCAAACUGGAGCUACAGCUGACAGCCUAUGUUUUCUUUUAGCAGUUUUAUGGCUUAAAGUCUUACAUGCAGUUCUUUAAGUGGUUUGAGUGAAUUUUGGUAUGGUGAAAGAUAGUCGUCCAGUUUAAUUCCUUUGCAUGUGGCUAUCCAGUUUCCCCAACAUCAUUUAUUGAAGAGACUGUCUUUUACCCAUUGUAUAUUCUUGGCUCUUUGGCUAUAAAUUGAUUAACCAUAUAUGAGUAUAUGUUUAUUUCUGGGCUGUCAAUUCUGUUCCAUUGACCUAUGUGUCUCUUUUCCAAUGCUGUUAUGAUUAUUGUAGCUUUGCAGUAUAGUUUGAAAUCAGGGAACAUGAGGCCUCCAGCUUUGUUCUCCUUUCACAAGAUUGCUUUGGAUACUUGGGGUCUUUUGUGGUUCCAUGUGAAUUUUAGAAUUGUUUAUUCUAUUUCUGUGAAAAAUGCCACUGGACUUUUGGUAGGGAUUGCAUUGAAUAUAGUCUCUCUGGACAUUUUAAAAAUAUUAAUUCUUUCAAUCUAUGAACACAGAAUAUCUUUCCAUUUAUUUGUGUCUUCUUCAGUUUCUGUCACUCAUGUCUCACAGUUUUCAGGGUACAGGUCUUUCAACUCCUUGGUUACAUUUAUUCUCUCUUUUUUAAAAAUCUACAUUUUGUUAGGAAUUCUACAAGGGAAGGAUAAAAUCUUGAUCUGCACCUACUGCCAUAAACUCUAAUGCUCAUCCGCUUUCCUAGAACAGGCCAUAUGCAGUUUUCACCCCUGAAAUAAAUCAUAAAUUGCUCACAGUAGCUAGGAUUGGAUUCCCUAAUUCUCACUGUCAGAGCCUUCCCCUCCGCCUCCCCCUUCUUCAAGACCACCCAGUAACUCAGAUUAUUUUCUUAGUUGACAAAGUAAGUACUUUGACUGAAAGUUUACCCUAGGCAGGGCCAAUCUCACAUUUAAUAUGACUGAUUGAAUUACCCAAUAAAGCGUAAACUCUGAACGACCAUAUUUGAAAGUCCUAUAAAAAGUAAACCGGUAGGUGUUUUCCAAUUCUGUCUCCUUGGGGAAGGGCAGGCAGGCAGUUUCCAGAGUCACCUGUGCUCCGGGGCUGUGGAUGCAGACACGUCAGCAACGAAGAGCAAACACAGAAUAGAACCUGUAUU